AGAUACUUUUUUGGAAAUUAAUAAUGUAUUUCGUUUUUCUAAUUAAAUUAAAUUAAUUAAAAUUUAGA
rnacentral:sRNA from 1 species